rnacentral:rRNA from 1 species
GACGAACCGAGCGAACGUUAUUCGGAAUCACUGGGCUUAAAGGGCGCGUAGGCGGGCGAUCAAGUCAGGGGUGAAAGCCCCCAGCUCAACUGGGGAAGUGCCUUUGAUACUGGUCGUCUCGAGGGGGAUAGGGGCGUGCGGAACUUCCGGUGGAGCGGUGAAAUGCGUAGAUAUCGGAAGGAACACCGGUGGCGAAAGCGGCGCGCUGGAUCCCUUCUGACGCUGAGGCGCGAAAGCCAGGGGAGCGAACGGGAUUAGAAACCCCGGUAGU